GUUAUACAUACAUAACAUAUAUAAAUAUACGUGGUGUCUGAGUUAGCAUCAUGUGUGUACGGCGUACUUGCAUGCAUGUAUGAAUGUACGAGUGUGUUUCGUGUCUGCUGUUGUUGUUGUUGUUGUUGUUGUAUGUUGUCUGUUCAUUUAAAUCUGCCAGCCAUGAGGCGAAUACAGACUCUUGUAAUUAUAACGAGUACCAAUAUUAUAUUAUUUCACACAUUAUGGAUUACCUUUGGAGUAUUGCUACAGCCUAUUAGCGCCAGCCUCACCACAACAGAUGACCAUCGAUGUCCAAUCAUCGAACCUCGACCUGAUUUUAAGAUACCAACAUGUUCAGCAGGCCUGAGCAGUACGUCUAUAGGAUGCUGGAGAAAAGGUUGGGUUGUUGUCAUGUCAAUCACAUCUGGAGUCCGACGGACGUUUGUUAAGGGUUGUUUGAAAUACCUUAAAAAAAUGUGUCACAAAGCUAAUCCUUGCAUUUUGCAAUUACGCUCUCCUGCUUGUAAUCGUCUGGCUCCACACAUAUCAGAAUAUUCCAUAGAAUAUGCUUGUGUUGAUGCUACACCACCAGGUAAGCCUGUAAUAGAAGGCUUCAAUCCAGAGAUUCCAUUGUUAGAAAACGAGCGACUGCUCGUGUCAUGCAACUGGUCCGGAGGGUUUCCGUCUGCCCUAGUGCGGCUCUCCUGCGGUGCGACAAUCAGCAUUGGAGUUUCUGUAACCAUGCUCGCGAUAGAUGUCAAGCGGGAUUUGAAUGAUUUUCAGUGUAUUUGUGAAGGGCUUCAUCCAGGAAUUAGUAAAAACACAUCACAGUCAAUGACAGUUUAUUAUCCCCCAGCAACACCCAAAGUGUUUCCCUCAACAGUAUUUCCUUGGUUUGAGAACCAAACCGAACAGAUAAUUUGCCGAUCUGAUCCCGAAGGCAAUCCCCCACCAACAACAUAUGAAUGGUUUCCAACCGAAGGAAGCAGCAUGCAGGAUACAAAUAGUGAUGCAGAUGGUCAUUUGACAUUCCACCAAGUCAACAGGAAACACAACUUACAAGAGUUCUAUUGUGUAGCAACAAACCAAUUCACACAAAUGACCGAGAAGUUAGUCAAAUCAAAAGAGAUCACCGUCCACGUUACUUAUCCUCCAAUUGGACGUCCGGAAAUGAAAGUUAUAGGCCCAAACGAAUCUUUAUAUGGUAACGAAACACUGACUGUAGUAUGUGCAUGGAAAGGUGGAAAUCCGGAAGCUAAUCUGCAACUAACAUGUGGCAGUCUUAAUUACAUGGGUGUUUCGGAAGUAUCUGUUUUACUGGAGUUUAGUAAACACCUGAACAUUUCAUCAUGCACUUGCAAUGGUACACAUCCUCUAAAGCAGAUUGUCAAUACGCGCAACGUCAGCUUCAACUAUAUUCCACGGGGUAACAUCCUAAUAGAAGGGUUUGAAACGGAUAGACCAGAAACAGAAAAUACUACAUUAACAGUAGCAUGCAGCUGGAUUGGAUCCCAACCAGCUCCAAGAGUACAACUCACAUGUGGUGGUGUGAACAGCUCAGGCAAACAAGCAUGUGCAUUAUUUUUCUUUCUCACUCGACAUUUGCACGGAACGGACUGUGUAUGCACUGCCAUGUUUCACAAAUGGAAGAAGACGGUUACCAAACAGUUAAAUAUCUAUUAUACGCCAGGAAGUCCAAAGAUCACAUCUCAGAGCAGCUUACCGUGGAUUGCAGGAGAUGUGCAAACGCUUACAUGUCAUGCAAGACCUGGAAAUCCUCCAGACACACAAUAUAAAUGGCUCUCAGAAUCGGGAUAUUUAAUACACAAAGGAGAAACACUGACAUUUGAUCCAGUGACUCGCAUGGAACACCGAAUGACUGUAAUAUGUCAAGCUGAAAACAAAUUAUCUCACACAGUCAUUGGACGUCCCAAGACAGCCUCCGUACGACUAGAGGUGAAAUACCCACCUGGCCAGCCAAUGAUAAGCAGCAGUCAUGAUUUCCCCUGGCUUGAAGGCAGUGACCAAUCACUGUACUGUGAAGCGAAACCUGGUAACCCUCCCUAUGUGUUCUACAAGUGGUUUUCGGCCAACAGAGGACUGAUCCAUACAGGAUCCGUGCUGAGGUUCCACCCUGUCAGUCGCUCCAACCAUUCCGAUCGGCUGGCAUGCAGGGCAGAGAACACAUUCACAGUUAUGCAACAUGGCAAGCACAUAACACAAAGUGUUAUAGUGUUAGUUGAAUACCGUCCGGCAAUUGAACUGACAGAAAAUUCCACUGUCAGUGAAAGUCAAGACAUUACGCUCCAAUGUUCAGCCGAAGGUAACCCAAGUCCGCAAGUAUCAUUGCAAUUUGGAGAAGUUUUACAAAAUGACAGCCAUACAUUUGAGAAUAGUCCUAUGUUUCUGGAACUGAAGAAUAUCAGCAGAAAUCAAGCAGGGCAGUACACUUGCACUGCAAAAUCAGAAUCACAUGUAUACGGUGCACUAAUAUCAGAGAAAUCAAUGAACCUUGUGGUUCAAUAUUCUCCAGACGUGCAAGUGGUGACACCACCAAAUGCCACUGAGGGAACUCAAGUAAAUUUGACGUGCGUCGCUGAUGGAGAACCUAAUAGAUAUACAUACAGGUGGCAGCACAAGUGGGGUGAAAUUAUCCUACAAGAGUUCGACAACGUUGAGACAAGCUCAGAACCAGCUGUGUUAACUUUAGAAAAUGUAACAUUUGAAGAUGGCGGCACUUAUAGAUGCUUAGUUGAAAAUGGUAUUCCAGAUAGAAAUGGCAAUAUUAUGAAAUCAGGUUCAGCUGAAUUUAUCAUACAAGCUAAACCCGUUUUCGAGAUAGAUGCCAUAUCGAAUGUUUCUAUUGAAUAUGGUGGCAAUCUGAGUAUAUCUGUUAGCUUUUAUUCAUUCCCAGUCUAUAGCGAAAUGACCUGGUCUUUCGAUGACACGAUAACAUCUGAGCCAGACAUUAGUACAGAAAUACAACCGACAAUAGUCUUACUCUCAACAUAUGGCAGAGAAGUGACAGCCGAGGGACAUGCUGUCAUAUUCACAAUAACUGACCUGAGAGAAACUGAAAUCCGUACACUUAAUUUGAAUAUUAGCAACUCAGUUGGAACCGGUAGUCAUCAAAUCACAAUAAUUCCUGCAGGUCCACCAUUAGAACCAAUGGAUUUCACAGUUGUAAAUAUAACUCAUACAAGCAUCACAGUAAAAUGGACUCCAGCAUUUAAUGGAGGUUAUGAACAGCUGUUUUAUUUGUCCCACCGACCUAUUUCAUACGAUGGUGAAUGGAUAGAAACAAUCCACGCAGACCAAGGAAAUGGCAAUGAUAUCUUCGUAACUAUCAAUAACCUGAAACGUGGCGCUAAAUACGCUUUCUCGUUGCACACUGAAAACACACGCCCUGGCGAACGCAACAGAAGUCAAACUCUUAAGUUUACUACCAAAACUGAAGAAAUCCAAACAGUGAGAAUAUCACCAUCAUCAAUUACUACUGGAACAGCGUUAGGUUUUAUAAUCGGUGGAAUGAUAGCAGCUGCUUUAGUCAUCACUGCCUGUUUCCUGAUUGGCCGGAUUGCAUGCCGAGGAUCAAAUAGAAAUGAUUCCAUCCACAAGACAGACUCGUUCAUAUACGAAGACAUCGACGACAGCCACACAAGCCCAGUGUCAGAGCUUCGAACUAGCCUCGGUGAACAAUGCGACCACUACCACAAUGACAACAUCAGCUGGAGCGUCUGGAUGUGAAGAACCUGGAUCGCCAGAUUUACGCCUCACUCCCCUCAUUGCAGAGAACGGCAAUGCAGAUAUAGAAAUUCCACACAUGACACCAAAGCAAAAUUUAAAUGAAGACGAACUUUGAAAAUUAAAUUAAAAAGAACUAUUGAGAAUUUUAAUUUUUUUCCCUUGGAACUGUUUCUAACACUCCAUACCAAAAUUUUUUUAAAAAAUGAAAUAUAUCUGCUAAUAUUUGCUGGAUAAUAUCAUUGCAUCGAUCUAUGCUAUCAAUUGGAUAGCAAAAGAAACAAAUUUGAAACAAAAAGACAUCAUGAAGAAAUAAUUUUCUGGUUUUAUUUUUUCUUAACUUUUUUCUUUUCAAAUUGGAGAAUUAACCUAAAAAUAUGAAAAGCAAAUGAAUAAAAAUGUCUUCAUACAAGGAAUAUCUAAACGAAGAACUAAUAAAAGAAAGAUAAUAUUUUAAAGUUUUAAGACAAGAAAGACCAAACGUUGAAGAUACAUUCAGUGGAGUUUAAUCGGCACUUUAUACCGUCAGUUCUUAUCAUGACACCAGUUGCAGUCAAGUAAAAGAUAUAUUCAAAACAUGUACUUACAUAUAUAUGUACCUAUAUAUAUAUUCUUUUCUACGAUAAGAAUAUAACGUCAAUAAAAUUGCCGGCUGAACUCUUCGACACUCCCUUCUCCUUCUCAAGUAAGAAUUUCCAAGGACUCGACCUUUGGUAACUUGUUGAAAUAGCAGAGGUAGCAAAAUUAUCUCAUAAGGAAAGUCACCAUACAAAUGCACACACAUAGCACACACUUACACAGACAUACAAACAUUAUACACAUUAUAUAUAUAACAUACACACAUAUCUAUAUACAUACAUACAUAUACAU
rnacentral:misc_RNA from 1 species